CACUAUAAGACAUACUCCCCCACUUCCUUUAACUGCUAGAGUCCUGCCCAGGAAGUCCUCAGAGGGCACUAGCUCUGGACGCACAAGAGUCACAUAUGCCCCUGAGUCCCACAGUUACCUCCUUUCCAACUUUCACAGGUUGCAGAUUCACAUUGUUGCUGCCCUCUGACUUGGUAACAAACAACACAGCAGAUGGUGGUUCUGAGGAGCGUCCUUCCCCAGCUAAGGAUGCUGGCUGCCAUUUCCCAGAGCAAGUAAGACUGAUGUGCCCCGC